GAAUGGGUGCGUAACACGUAGGUGACCUACCCUGAAGUGGGGAAUAACAGUUCGAAAGGACUGCUAAUACCGCAUGUGGUCCUGUUAGGUAAAGCUUCGCUUCAGGAGGGGCCUGCGGUCCAUCAGCUAGUUGGUAGGGUAAUGGCCUACCAAGGCUACUACGGAUAAGGGACCUGAGAGGGUGGCCCCCACAUUGACACUGACACACGGGCCAGACUCCUACGGGAGGCAGCCGUCGGGAAUAUUGCACAAUGAGCGAAAGCUUGAUGCAGCAACGCCGCGUGCGCGAUGAAGGUCUUCGGAUCGUAAAGCGCUUUUCGGGGGGAUGAGGGACAGUACCCCCGGAAUAAGUCACGGCUAACUACGCGCCAGCAGACGCGGUAAAACGUAGGUGGCGAGCGUUAUCCGG
rnacentral:rRNA from 1 species